rnacentral:rRNA from 1 species
UAUCAACGCUGAGGUGUGAUGACGAGCCACUACGGUGGUGAAGUAGUUGAUGCCAAGCUUCCAGGAAAAGCCUCUAAGCAUCAGGUAACAUUAAAUCGUACCCCAAACCGACACAGGUGGUCAGGUAGAGAAUACUCAGGCGCUUGAGAGAACUCGGGUGAAGGAACUAGGCAAAAUGGUGCCGUAACUUCGGGAGAAGGCACGCUGGCAUUAGGUAAAGAGACUUGCUCUCGGAGCUGAAGCCAGUCGCAGAUACCAGCUGGCUGCAACUGUUUAAUAAAAACACAGCACUGUGCAAACACGAAAGUGGACGUAUACGGUGUGACGCCUGCCCGGUGCUGGAAGGUUAAUUGAUGGGGUCAGCCGCAAGGCGAAGCUCUUGAUCGAAGCCCCAGUAAACGGCGGCCGUAACUAUAACGGUCCUAAGGUAGCGAAAUUCCUUGUCGGGUAAGUUCCGACCUGCACGAAUGGCGUAAUGAUGGCCAGGCUGUCUCCACCCGAGACUCAGUGAAAUUGAACUCGCUGUGAAGAUGCAGUGUACCCGCGGCAAGACGGAAAGACCCCGUGAACCUUUACUAUAGCUUGACACUGAACAUUGAGCCUUGAUGUGUAGGAUAGGUGGGAGGCAUUGAAGUGUGGACGCCAGUCUGCAUGGAGCCAACCUUGAAAUACCACCCUUUAAUGUUUGAUGUUCUAACUCGGCCCCAUAAUCUGGGGUGAGGACAGUGUCUGGUGGGUAGUUUGACUGGGGCGGUCUCCUCCCAAAGAGUAACGGAGGAGCACGAAGGUUAGCUAAUCACGGUCGGACAUCGUGAGGUUAGUGCAAAGGCAUAAGCUAGCUUGACUGCGAGAGUGACGGCUCGAGCAGGUACGAAAGUAGGUCUUAGUGAUCCGGUGGUUCUGAAUGGAAGGGCCAUCGCUCAACGGAUAAAAGGUACUCCGGGGAUAACAGGCUGAUACCGCCCAAGAGUUCAUAUCGACGGCGGUGUUUGGCACCUCGAUGUCGGCUCAUCACAUCCUGGGGCUGAAGUAGGUCCCAAGGGUAUGGCUGUUCGCCAUUUAAAGUGGUACGCGAGCUGGGUUUAGAACGUCGUGAGACAGUUCGGUCCCUAUCUGCCGUGGGCGUUGGAAGAUUGAGAGGGGCUGCUCCUAGUACGAGAGGACCGGAGUGGACGAAUCACUGGUGUUCGGGUUGUCAUGCCAAUGGCAUUGCCCGGUAGCUAAAUUCGGAAGAGAUAACCGCUGAAAGCAUCUAAGCGGGAAACUUGCCUCGAGAUGAGUCUUCCCUGGGGCUUUAAGCCCCCUGAAGGAACGUUAAAGACUAUGACGUUGAUAGGCUGGGUGUGUAAGUGCAGCGAUGCAUUGAGCUAACCAGUACUAAUGAUCCGU